rnacentral:rRNA from 1 species
AUUGAACGCUGGCGGCAUGCCUUACACAUGCAAGUCGAACGGUAACAGGUCUUCGGAUGCUGACGAGUGGCGAACGGGUGAGUAAUAUAUCGGAACGUGCCUAGUAGUGGGGGAUAACUACUCGAAAGAGUGGCUAAUACCGCAUGAGAUCUACGGAUGAAAGCCGGGGAUAGCCAGCUCUUGUGCUACUAGAGCGGCCGAUGGCAGAUUAGGUAGUUGGUGGGAUAAAAGCUUACCAAGCCGACGAUCUGUAGCUGGUGUGAGAGGACGUUCAGCCACACUGGGACUGAGACACGGCCCAGACUCCUACGGGAGGCAGCAGUGGGGAAUUUUGGACAAUGGGCGAAAGCCUGAUCCAGCAAUGCCGCGUGCAGGAUGAAGGCCUUCGGGUUGUAAACUGCUUUUGUACGGAACGAAAAGCCCCGGGUUAAUACCCUGGGGUCAUGACGGUACCGUAAGAAUAAGCACCGGCUAACUACGUGCCAGCAGCCGCCGUAA